GUUGAGAGGCUCAUCGCACAGCUAGGAGGGGAGGAUGCAGCAGAGAAAGGCACACAUGCCAGGGACUCUGCUGUCCUUCCAGGGACUUGGUGAAGAUGGUCUGUAGUUGGAGACCGACGUACGUCCCUUCUGCUCCAUCUGUCUUUGCCACAAAGCCUCUCACACACAGACUCCCAGCCUCUGAGUGCUGGGUUCUCUCCUUUUACAACCCCAAAUCGCAGUUCCAGAAGACAAUCCGGUGUCCCUUACCCCUCCUGAUGAACUGUGGAAUGGGGCAGAGGACCCAGAGCUCUUCCCAGCUCUUUGCGAAGACCACCAGAAUGGUGACGGUGCGUGGAGUGGACUUCUCUGGUUGUGACCUGGGUUUCUUUGAGGAUGCUGACCCUGGAAGCGGCUUACUGGCUCAGCCGCUGCGAACACCGGUGAUGGUGUGUUUAUCCGGCUUCCUCCUCAGUCUUUGAGGCUCGUCCCUUGCAGGGAUGCAGCCCGCCGCCACCUGUCCCACAAGCAGAUGUCUUCUGGUAGUUUGGAGGCUUGGCCAUGCUGUUAAAGAUUCAAGGUGAGUGGCUGAGAUGCAAAGAUGCAAGCCACGCGGCCAGUUGAGGAACGUGGAACAGAGGCUCAGUGGAAGCAAGCCGUCAGGAGGCAGACGGUUGCUGCCUUCCAGGUGGAUGCAGCGAUGAGGAGGUGAUUCCUGGCAGGUGACCAGGACUCUUCGGGAAGGAGCAGGGGAGAGCUGUCCUGUCUCUACUGAUGCCCUAGCACAUUUCUACUCCGGUGAAGGGUGGCACAGCUGCAGGUGAUGCCAUAUAAACUAUCACAUGGCCUGAUGUGUCUCUUUGGGCCAGAAAUAACCCUUCUGAGAAUAACUGCAGAAUAGGGAACAGAUUGGAAAUCCAAGCCUCAGAGAGGACCAGAGAAAGAAACACACAACUAUACGCCAAACAUAGAAAGGCUUUGCUACUAUUGUUUUGAGGCAAGGUCUCACUCAGCCAGGCUGGCCUGGAAAUCACUGUGUAAUUCAUGCUAGCCUCAAAUUCACAUCAGUUUGGUAUAAGUUUUCGAACCCAACCGCACAAGAGAGUUUUGAGCUUACCCACCUGCCUCAUCUCUCCACUGCCAUCACAGGGUUUGCAACCAAAUGGGCCAGAGCCUCCAGAUACCAUUCUUGCUGUUUGGUUGGAGUUUUGUUAUUGUUGUUACUUUGUUUUGUUUUCCCAGACAGGGUUUCUUUCUGUAGCCCUGGCUGUCCCGGAACUCCCUCUGUAUACCAGGCUGACUUUGAACUCAGAGACCUACCUGCUGCUGCCACCUGGAAUUAAAGGUGUGACCAGCCCAAACAUCUUUCAAUAAGUUCAUUCCACCACCUUCUCUCCACACUCUGGAAACGGUGGGAGAAUGCCCUGUUAUAUUUAAGGACAGCUUGUACUCAAUGACCCCAGAUACUACAGCAGCAAUCCU
rnacentral:lncRNA from 1 species